rnacentral:miRNA from 1 species
AUUAUUUGAAAAAAAGCUUCAGUUAUUCAGGUGCUGCGCUUUGGACAUUCCAAAGCGCAGCACCUGAAUAACUGAAGCUUUUUUUCAAAUAAUUC